AACGAACGCUGGCGGCAGGCCUAACACAUGCAAGUCGAACGCCCUAGCAAUAGGGAGUGGCAGACGGGUGAGUAACACGUGGGAACCUUCCCUAUAGUACGGAAUAUACCAGGGAAACUUGGAGCAAUACCGUAUACGCCCGAGAGGGGAAAGAUUUAUCGCUAUAGGAUGGGCCCGCGUAGGAUUAGCUAGUUGGUGAGGUAUGGCUCACCAAGGCGACGAUCCUUAGCUGGUUUGAGAGAACGACCAGCCACACUGGGACUGAGACACGGCCCAGACUCCUACGGGAGGCAGCAGUGGGGAAUAUUGGACAAUGGGCGCAAGCCUGAUCCAGCCAUGCCGCGUGAGUGAUGAAGGCCUUAGGGUUGU
rnacentral:rRNA from 1 species